rnacentral:rRNA from 1 species
AUUGAACGCUGGCGGCAGGCCUAACACAUGCAAGUCGAACGAGUGGCGGACGGGUGAGUAAUGUCUGGGAAACUGCCUGAUGGAUGGGGAUAACUACUGGAAACGGUAGCUACUACCGCAUACCAUCAGAUGUGCGCAGAUGGGGUUAGCUUGGUGGUGGGGUAACGGCUCACCAGGGCGACGAUCCCUAGCUGGUCUGAGAGGAGGACAAGGCACACUGGAACGGAGACACGGUCCGGACGCCUACGGGAGGCAGCAGUGGGGAAUAUUGCACAGUGGGCGCAAGCCGGACGCAGCCAUGCCGCGUGGAUGAAGAAGGCCUUCGGGUUGGAAAGUACUUUCAGCAGGGAGGCGUUACCCGCAGAAGAAGCACCGGCUAACUCCGUGCCAGCAGCCGCGGUAAUAC